rnacentral:tRNA from 1 species
CAGGGAAUAGUUUAAUUAGAAUUUCAGCUUUGGGUGCUGAUGGUGGAGUCGGUCUCCUUCCUUGA